CCUACGGGUGGCAGCAGUGAGGAAUAUUGGUCAAUGGACGAGAGUCUGAACCAGCCAAGUAGCGUGAAGGAUGACUGCCCUAUGGGUUGUAAACUUCUUUUAUAUGGGAAUAAAAUGUUCCACGUGUGGGAUUUUGUAUGUACCAUAUGAAUAAGGAUCGGCUAACUCCGUGCCAGCAGCCGCGGUAAUACGGAGGAUCCGAGCGUUAUCCGGAUUUAUUGGGUGUAAAGGGAGCGUAGGUGGAUUGUUAAGUCAGUUGUGAAAGUUUGCGGCUCAACCGUAAAAUUGCAGUUGAAACUGUCAGUCUUGAGUACAGUAGAGGUGGGCGGAAUUCGUGGUGUAGCGGUGAAAUGCUUAGAUAUCACGAAGAACUCCGAUUGCGAAGGCAGUUCACUGGACUGCAACUGACACUGAGGCUCGAAAGUGUGGGUAUCAAACAGGAUUAGAUACCCGGGUAGUC
rnacentral:rRNA from 1 species